AUCACAGGCGUGAGCAACCAUGCCCGGCCCUAGAAAGACGAAUUUAUAUUUUAUCUACAUGUUCUUAUUUCCCACAUACUCAACAAUUCAGUGCAAUUUCAACUCCUAUCACUGUAAUGAAUCUGCAUUUUCAAAUAUCACCAGCGACCAUCAUAUUGCAAGACACAAUAUUUUUAGUUCUUAUUACAUGUACAAAUAUGUAAAAUUUUAAAGCUUUUAACUAUGGCUUUUAAAAUAUAAUUUAUCAAAAUAUUAAAUAAAUCUAUAUGUUAUGUUAGAUUUACCUUCUGAAUAUACUGGCAACUUUUAUGAAAAACAAACUGAUAUUGAUUGCCUUGUAUACAUAUUUAUAUUUUUCUACAAUUACUGACCUAGAAUAAUUAACCCUUUAUGGUAAUUAUAAUCUUUAACCAACAUAAUCAAUGUUUUUUUCUUCAGACCAAGAAAUACUAGAGAAUAUAAAACAAUCAAGAAAUAUUUU
rnacentral:lncRNA from 1 species